CAGUAGCCGCGGGAAAACGAAGGGUGCAAGCGUUACUCGGAAUUGCUGGGCGUAAAGCGUGCGCAGGCGGUUGUGUAAGACAGGUGUGAAAUCCCCGGGCUUAACCUGGGAACUGCGCUUGUGACUGCACAGCUAGAGUAUGGCAGAGGGGGGUGGAAUUCCACGUGUAGCAGUGAAAUGCGUAGAGAUGUGGAGGAACACCGAUGGCGAAGGCAGCCCCCUGGGCCAAUACUGACGCUCAUGCACGAAAGCGUGGGGAGCAAACAGGAUUAGAUACCCCAGUAGUCCCUGUCUCUUAUAC
rnacentral:rRNA from 1 species